rnacentral:sRNA from 1 species
CGCGUCCGCCUCGUGGACGCCGCUGCCCAUCCAAGCCCACUCCCGGUUACGCUGGCGCCGUGCGGCCCCCGCCCAGCCGGGGAAUCCGCAUAGCCGACAGCCGUCGCAUCCCAGGGAGCCCCUUCAUG